rnacentral:rRNA from 1 species
CCCCAGACUCCUACGGGAGGCCGCAGUGGGGCCUCUUGCACAAUGGGCGCCAGCCUGAUGCCGCCAUGCCGCGUGUCUGAAGAAGGCCUUCGGGUUGUAACGUCCUUUCAGUCGGGCGGCCGGUGGUACGGUUCCUAACCUUCUCCCUUGACGUUACCGCCCGAAGAAGCACCGGCUAACUCCGUGCCAGCAGCCGCGGUCCUCCGGAGGGUGCCCGCGUUAAUCGGAAUUCCUGGGCGUAAAGCGCACGCAGGCGGUUGAGGGAGGCAGAUGUGAAAGCCCCGGGCUCAACCUGGGAACUGCAUCUGAGACUGGCAAGCUUGAGGCUCGGAGAGGGGGGGAGAAUUCCAGGGGGAGCGGUGAAAUGCGGAGAGAUCUGGAGGAAGACCGGUGGAGAAGGCGGCCCCCUGGACGAAGACUGACGCUCAGGUGCGAAAGCGUGGGGAGCAAACAGGAGUAGAUACCCCCGUAA